CACAGCUUUCCCCCUCCUUCAGGAGAAUCAAGGGGGUGAGGAGGCCGGGCGUGCUGGCUGCUCGGCAUCGAAGCUGAAAUAUUAUUACUGCAGUCUGGUCCCCUGGUUAAAUGGUGAGCAGUAUGAGGCUGAGUGUCAUUUGAUGACAUACAUUUAUGUUCAACAGUAUCCUUUCUCGUCGUCUCUUAGUACUAAAUUCAAGUAAGUAGGUGCCUUCCUCCCUACCCCCUUCCCUUCUGUACUUUCCAUGCUUAGUGCUGCUACGGGGAAUCUGGUUUACUGCUCAUCAUCCUCUGAGUGAGCCCCCUCAAUGUUUGUUUGUUUUUUUUAACUCUUAAUGUAUUCAAGUGUCUGUGGAACAAGACAUACGAAUCCUACUUUUGUGUACCUUUUCGUCAGGGAGAUAAGCAAUAAGCAGCAUGCUACAGAUUGAGAUAAAGACUGCCAGUAGGCUGAUUAGAGGGAAUAACUAGAGGAGAUUGCUUUAGGUAGUGUAGUCAGGGAUGGUGUCUCGGGAGGAGAGGAUAUUUGGGCCCAGCCCUAAAGAUGGCAAUAUGCUCAUCAAGCUGGGGAAAGGCUUUCUAAAAUGAGAGCACAUCAAGGUCAAUACAUAGCCUUAGAGAUGGAAAAGGGUUUGAUUUAUUCCAGAAAAAUCAAAGAUUUUGAUGAGUUGGAGCAUAAUGAGUGAAAGAAAGAAGUGGGUAGGAGCUAGUAGGAGAUGAGAAGUUUUGGUUUUAUCCUGUGUGUGUGGUUUUUUUUUAAAACUUAUUUUUAUUAAUUGUAAUUCAUCUGGUGGGUCCAACAGAAUUUGGCUCAACACUUUUUUUGUUGUUAAUCCUCACCCAAGGAUAUUUUUUCCAGUGAUUUUUAGAGAGAAUGGAAGGGUGGGGGAGAGACAAAGAGAGUGAAACAUCCAUGUGAGAGAGAUACAUCGAUUGAUUGCCUCCCACAUGUACCCCAACCAGGGCCAGGGUUAAGCCUGCAACUGAGGCACAUGCCCUUGACUGGAAUCAAACCCAGGAUCCCUCAGUCUGUAGGCCGACGCUUUAUCCACUGAGCCAAACCAGCCAGGACUCUACAGUUUUCUUAUUCUGUUUGGGCUGCUGUAACAAAAUGCCAUAGGUGGAGACUUACAAAAAAUAGAAAUGUAUUUCUCACACUUCUGGAGUCUGGAAGUCCAAGAUCAGGAUGCCUGCACAGUCAGAUUCUGGUGAAGACCCAGUUAUAUUCUGUAGGCUGCCAACUUCUCCCUGUGUCCUCACAUAAGGGGGUGAGGGAUCCUUAGGGCUUCUUUUAUAAGAUCCCUCAUGACCUAAUUACCUCCCUAAGUCCCCAACUCCUAAUAUCAACACCUUGGGCUUUAGGUUUCGAACAUACGAAUUUUGGAAGGACACAUGUAUUGAAUCUCUAGCACUUGUCAGCGAUGGAAUGCCAUUAGAGGGUGUUAAGCAGGGGAGAGGGCUGGCAUCUGAUUUAUGUUUUUAAAGAUAACUGGCUCUCAGAUGACAAAUGGACUCUAGAGGGUCAAGAGUAGAAGCAGGGACCAGCAGUGCAGCUAUCACAGUUGUCCCAACUUGGCGUCAGAUGUUAUCCCUGGGAAAGUACGGGGGAAGGUAUUAUCCACAUACAUGGGACUGUGAGUGAGGCACAGUUCUCUGGGAACAGAGAAUCUAGGUUUGAACACAAAAAUAAAAACCUACCGUAGAUAGUUAAAAAUACUGAUUUCCAAAAAUCAGUAAUAAUAGGACCAUGCAUAUACCAGACUUCUUUGAGCUGCUGCUAUAGGUGAUGUAGCUGUGUUAUCGCAUAUAGUCCUCAUCCUCCUACACUCGGAUAUAUGAUUUGUACCCCAUCUGUAAAUACGGAAGGUGAGGCAUAGGAGGGUAAGUAGCUUCCUUGGGCUCAUUGUGUUAAGAAACAGUAAUUGGUUUUCUUGGUUUGUUUGUUUUGUUCACUGGUUAUAGGAUACUUAGUGUAUAUUCACAUGGUUCAAAAUGGAAAAGGUACAAAAGAGUAAAUGUCUCUCCCAGCUCUGUGUCCCAGCAGUCGGCUGCCCUCCUAGGAGGCAGCCAGUAUUGCCACUUUCUGGGGUGUGAUUAUCCAUAGAGAAUCUAUGCAUAUAAAAUCAAAGAUGCAUAUUAUUAUGUACAUAUCGUAAGUUUUUGUCUUUU